rnacentral:SRP_RNA from 1 species
UCGCCGGUCCCGCGCAGCGCGUGGCCGUGAACCAUGUCAGGCGGGGAACCGAGCAGCAUUAAGCGGCAUGUCGCGUGUGCCGCGGUCAACCGGUAUGGG